rnacentral:tRNA from 1 species
GUGUCCAUAGCUUAAUUGGAAGAGCAACAAUCUUCUAAAUUGUUAGGUCUAGGUUCGAGUCCUAGUGAACAUA